GAACGCACAUUGCACUUCUUGGUAUUCCGAGGAGUAUGCCUGUUUCAGUAUCAUGAGCACUCUCACAGCUAACCUUUGUUGGUUAAGAUUGUGGAAUUGGGCUGCGCCCGUUGUUAUGAUUGGCCCUCCUAAAAUGUAGCUCUUGACUGUGGACUAGCACAGUAGUUUGGCCUAAUAGUUUUGGCACUUGUUUGUCAAAUCUUUGGCUACAUUUACUUUUGGUCCAUGCAGUCUUGAUAUACAGAAAACUCUUUAAUUCAAAACUUUGAUCUGAAAUCAGGUAGGGCUACCCGCUGAACUUAAG
rnacentral:misc_RNA from 1 species